ACUCAGCUGGCAGGGCUGUGCAGCUUGCUGCCAGCUCCGUUACCUCUGCUCCUUCACAGGUGUUCGUGGUUGGACGGUGGGCGGAGUGCGCACACCUGCAGCUCGUUCAGCAGCAUCUGAGCGUUCUAUAAGAACUGCGUCCGAACAGCGAGAGGACGCCAGAGUGUUUUCGUUGCGGUUUCCCUGUGUCUACGUGAACCCCGAAUGACUCUAGAGUUCCUCGGCUCGACCAGACGUACCUCAGCUCUGGACGCGAGUCACACCAACUCUCUCUCCGGUUCCUCUCGCUGCUCUGGAUCCCUGGACGCCCUCGUUGCUGCUCGGACCCCCUCGCCCCGCUCUCCGUCGACCCGAACGCCUGCUCAAGACAAUCCAGCUGAGUCCUCCUUACCGUCUCCCCGCUCGGUUAACCAAUCCUCGUGACUGGUCUGGUCCCUUGGUCCCGGGAUAAGUUCGAGCCACCAU